UGUGGCCCUUAUCGAAGCUGCAGCUGCUUCCAUGUAGCUGCUGCAGUCAAAAAGGAGCCCAGAGUGACAGUUUUCCUUGACGGUCGCCGUUCUGUUUGCUGUAACCUAUCUGCAACAUUUCAGGAAAAGACAAUA
rnacentral:snoRNA from 1 species